UACGUAGGGGGCGAGCGUCGUCCGGAGUUACUGGGCGUAAAGCGCACGCAGGCGGUCUGCUAAGUUUGGAGUGACAGUUGGUGGCUCAACCACCAAAGUGCUUCGAAAACUGACAGACUUGAGGGCUUCAGAGGGACACGGAAUUCCGGGUGGAGUGGUGAAAUGCGUAGAGAUCCGGAGGAACACCGAAGGCGAAGGCAGUGUCCUGGGGAGUACCUGACGCUCAGGUGCGAAAGCUAGGGGAGCGAACGGG
rnacentral:rRNA from 1 species